rnacentral:antisense_RNA from 1 species
AGUUAUGGUGGCUCAGGCUGGGCAUCCGUAAGGAUGGCCGGUGUCCUUGAAGGCCGGUAGUGCUAACCCCGUCUGGGCUACCACCCAU